GUCGGAGUGGCGGAACUGGCAGACGCGCACGUUUGAGGGGCGUGUGGGUGACCGUACGGGUUCAAGUCCCGUCUCCGACACCA
rnacentral:tRNA from 1 species